rnacentral:rRNA from 1 species
AUGGAUUCACAUGUGCAUGGCAAUAAGCGUGCGGAGUACGACAGGUUGUUGCGUGAAGCCCGCCGGGAGAUUGACGCAAAGGUCCAACACGAACGUGAUGAGAUGGACAGGGCACUCAAACAAGAACGUGCGUAUGUCGAUAGGAUGCUUAAGGAUGAGCGUGUUGAUAUAUCUCAGAAGAUUAAGCAGAUGCGUGAAGAGAUGGAAAAAAAGUUAAAUCAGGACCACGAGGCCAUGGAAAAGAAAUUCCAGCUGGCGUACAAGGAGAUGCACCUUAAAUUGCAAAAGGACCGGAAGGUUGUCGACGGCCUUAUACAGACAGAGCGUGUCAACAUGGACGUGAAUGUGUUGCAGGCACGUGCUAAUAUGGACAUUAGGCUGCAACAGGAGUGCAAGGACAUGGACUACAAGGCUAUGGUGGAGCAGGUCAUGAUGGAAGGAAAGAUGCUGGAAGACCGUGCGAUGUUUCAAUCCCACGUUCAAUGCCACAGCACUAAACCGCAAGAGCAUGUCUUCAGUACUCCCCGUUCCAAGAAGCAUUACGCGGCACAAUCUCCAAACUCUAAAGGCCUAGUGAUGUCGGUGUCACCCGUUGAAUGCCACAGUUCUCCACUCGAAGAACAUGUCUUCAAGUCUCCACCUGCUAAGCAUCCAGUGACGGAACAAUCCCGAAUCCUCGCACAUGAAGUUUACAUCCCAUAUAAUAAUAAGGUGCUUGUAAUGGAAUUUUACAUUCAUAGGGACUGUGAGCUUUCACAUGUCCCGACAGGAUACUUUGACGAAAGACCCAUUGAGAUGAGAUUGUCUGAACCCGGCGUAUUGGACUAUGAUUUUCUCAUGAAAGAAGUGGUUGGAUAUGGUUACAAAAAGGAUUCAGAUUUGUACCACUUCUUACCUGAGCAUGCGUGCAACCUACCGGAAGGAAUGUUCCUGAUUUCAGGACCAGGUGAUUUUGCAAAGAUGAUUUCCCGCCUGAACGGCAGCAAGACACGUCAUUUGUAUUUGGUGUAUAAUCGUCCACCAAAAGAUGAUUAUGAGUGGUGGUCGGACAUGGAUUCAGAGGAACUGCGCAUCCAAGACUUGCAGCAUGAGGAGGCUCUGGCUAGAGAGCUUGAGGCAAAGGAACAACUAAACUCCUUAGGUUACAUUGAUGUACUGUGUAAAAAUAUUGGAGAAGGUGGGUCGUCGCAAAUCCUGACGCAAACUCCAAUGACCAAUACGAAGAAGUCACUGGAUUUUGGCACCGGAGACGAGCUUCCGUAG